CUAUACAUGCUGGAGAAGCAGGGCACGUGCGAGGCAGUCUGUGAUGGGCUACUGCCGAUGCAUGUGCUCUUUUUCUCCAUCAUGGAAUA
rnacentral:pre_miRNA from 1 species